UCAGGUAAAAUGAAGAACGUGG
rnacentral:piRNA from 1 species